rnacentral:rRNA from 1 species
CCUACGGGAGGCAGCAGUGAGGAAUAUUGGUCAAUGGACGCAAGUCUGAACCAGCCAUGCCGCGUGCAGGAAGACGGCUCUAUGAGUUGUACACUGCUUUUGUACGAGGGUAAACGCAGAUACGCGUAUCUGUCUGACAGUAUCGUACGCAUAAGGCUCGGCUAACUCCGUGCCAGCCGCCGCGGUAAUACGGAGGAUUCAAGCGUUCGCCGGAUUUAUUGGGUUUCAAGGGUGCGUAGGCGGUAGGAUAAGUUAGAGUUGAGAUCCCGAGGCUCAACUUCGGAAUUGCCUCUGAUACUGUUCGUCUAGAGAGUAGUUGCGGUAGGCGGAAUGUAUGGUGGAGCGGUGAAAUGCUUAGAGAUCAUACAGAACACCGAUUGCGAAGGCAGCUGACCAAGCUACUGCUGACGUUGAGGCACGAAAGCGUGGGGAGCAAACAGGAUUAGAUACCCCAGUAGUC